rnacentral:tRNA from 1 species
GCGGGGGUCGCCAAGCCUGGUCAAAGGCGCAAGGCUUAGGACCUUGUCCCGUAGGGGUUCGUGGGUUCAAAUCCCACCCCCCGCACCA